CUUAACACAUGCAAGUCGAGGGGCAGCAUGGUCUUAGCUUGCUAAGGCCGAUGGCGACCGGCGCACGGGUGAGUAACACGUAUCCAACCUGCCGUCUACUCUUGGACAGCCUUCUGAAAGGAAGAUUAAUACAAGAUGGCAUCAUGAGUCCGCAUGUUCACAUGAUUAAAGGUAUUCCGGUAGACGAUGGGGAUGCGUUCCAUUAGAUAGUAGGCGGGGUAACGGCCCACCUAGUCUUCGAUGGAUAGGGGUUCUGAGAGGAAGGUCCCCCACAUUGGAACUGAGACACGGUCCAAACUCCUACGGGAGGCAGCAGUGAGGAAUAUUGGUCAAUGGGCGAGAGCCUGAACCAGCCAAGUAGCGUGAAGGAUGACUGCCCUAUGGGUUGUAAACUUCUUUUAUAAAGGAAUAAAGUCGGGUAUGCAUACCCGUUUGCAUGUACUUUAUGAAUAAGGAUCGGCUAACUCCGUGCCAGCAGCCGCGGUAAUACGGAGGAUCCGAGCGUUAUCCGGAUUUAUUGGGUUUAAAGGGAGCGUAGAUGGAUGUUUAAGUCAGUUGUGAAAGUUUGCGGCUCAACCGUAAAAUUGCAGUUGAUACUGGAUAUCUUGAGUGCAGUUGAGGCAGGCGGAAUUCGUGGUGUAGCGGUGAAAUGCUUAGAUAUCACGAAGAACUCCGAUUGCGAAGGCAGCCUGCUAAGCUGCAACUGACAUUGAGGCUCGAAAGUGUGGGUAUCAAACAGGAUUAGAUACCCUGGUAGUCCACACGGUAAACGAUGAAUACUCGCUGUUUGCGAUAUACAGCAAGCGGCCAAGCGAAAGCGUUAAGUAUUCCACCUGGGGAGUACGCCGGCAACGGUGAAACUCAAAGGAAUUGACGGGGGCCCGCACAAGCGGAGGAACAUGUGGUUUAAUUCGAUGAUACGCGAGGAACCUUACCCGGGCUUAAAUUGCAGAUGAAUUACGGUGAAAGCCGUAAGCCGCAAGGCAUCUGUGAAGGUGCUGCAUGGUUGUCGUCAGCUCGUGCCGUGAGGUGUCGGCUUAAGUGCCAUAACGAGCGCAACCCUUGUUGUCAGUUACUAACAGGUUCCGCUGAGGACUCUGACAAGACUGCCAUCGUAAGAUGUGAGGAAGGUGGGGAUGACGUCAAAUCAGCACGGCCCUUACGUCCGGGGCUACACACGUGUUACAAUGGGGGGUACAGAGGGCCGCUACCACGCGAGUGGAUGCCAAUCCCCAAAACCUCUCUCAGUUCGGACUGGAGUCUGCAACCCGACUCCACGAAGCUGGAUUCGCUAGUAAUCGCGCAUCAGCCACGGCGCGGUGAAUACGUUCCCGGGCCUUGUACACACCGCCCGUCAAGCCAUGGGAGCCGGGGGUACCUGAAGUGCGUAACCGCGAGGAGCGCCCUAGGGUAAAACUGGUGACUGGGGCUAAGUC
rnacentral:rRNA from 1 species